GGCAAUAUUUGAAUGGAUAAACUGUUUCCAAAGUUAACUCAAGAUAUUGCUCUCGAUGAUUAGGAAGAUUUCUGUUGUUAAAAUGGGGUACUUUAAAAAGAGUAUACCAACUACAAGAGGAUGUUGUUAGCUGUCUUAUUGAAGAUAAACUAAAAGAAUACCCUUGGCGUUACCUGGUUGCAAGGUUUUUAUAGGCUCCUCCUAGGCAAUUUGGCAUUUUAACUAUAAUUGACAUACCUUUAGAAAAGGGAAAGCUUGGUAUUACUUCUUCCAUCAGAGAGAAAUUAGCACCAGAAAUUUUGCAUUUACAGAUUCUGCGUAUUGAUUUAAUAUUAAAUUAUAUUAGGCCCACUGACUUACCUUUAAUAUUAAAUAACCUCCUUAUUAUAUAGUCUCCUUGCAUCCUUAUAUUUUUUCAAGUUUUUAACUUAAAUAUUUGAACUUUAUUUGAGUCUAGUUUAUAAAUCUAUUACAGCGCUGUAUUUUUCCUUGUUCAGAAAAAUAAACUUAUGUUUAGAACAAAUAACCCAAAGAUACGGAGAAAAAAACUUCGUGCUGCUUGCUUGUUUCGAACUCGCCGGGAGGCCUUGUCAAAUAAAAUAAUAGUUUCAUAAACACGUGCAUCGCCUAUACUUUGUGUAUCAGACUUUUGCUGUACGCAAGAACCCGAGAGACCUGUCCCUCGUUCAGUAUGCCCUUGGAGCUACAGGAUACAAGCGCCCCCGCGGAAAAAGGCAAAUCUGUUCAUCGAAGGUCUCGGGCAUCGGCACCUGGAGCACCUUUCUCCCCCUGAAGAUUCUGGAAAGUGCUUUCUUGUUUAUAUGUCCAGCCUUGCGUUUUUUGAGGACACGCGUGUCGCCCUAGUCGUCUGCAGGAUUAUUUAAGAAACCUUAUUCGUCAACGUCACCGGCACAUUGGAAAAGAGCGCUGCUUCCGUAAUAAUCACUGGUACGCGAAACUGCAGGACGUGUUUGUAGCAGCUUACGAAGGAAGACCAUCUUUAAGCUUAGUGCGUUCCGCUAACUUGGCUACCUUGGGAGAGGGAGACAUGACCUCCUAAGCCCCCUCACUUAUUAACAACCGGCUGACUAAUCCAAGCACAGCUGGCGGAAUCGCUUUUGUAACCUCUGAACUCUCGCUUCUAAAAGCACCUGGCCCCCAACGGCAUUUUAUAAAACUCUUAAAAAGUUGCCGCCUGUAAAGAUUAGCCACUUUUCACGUUUGCAACUUCUGCGUGAUCUCCUGACUUCUUCCCAGCCGCGAUGGAAAAUAGUCACUGUUGUGAUGCUCUCUAAGACUCCGCGUCCUUCAACAGAUCUAAGCGGAUAUCCUCCUAUUUUGCAUAAUAACGACAGUGGGUAAAAUUGUGAGGGCUGUUCUACUACGGUGAUUCGAAGAAUUUGUAUAAACAUAUAAAGCGCUUCCGAAAAUUCAAUUCAAACUUCGAAACUGUCAUCGACAACACCACAAUUUCAAGCUUUGCUGAACGGACAAUCGGAAAAUUUUCAUUUAAAGAAGUUCACGGUCGUCUUUCUCGAGGUUGAAAAAACCUUCGAGCGCGAAUGGCAUGACGGACUUUUACACAAAUUCUGGGUACUGUUUACGGUAUCAGCGUCGAUUCUAUGCGAACGCACCUUUCGAGUGAGAGUUGGGGCUGCUGUAUCGCCUUAUCGUCGACUGAGAGCUGUUAUUCCGCAAGACUCUUUGCUCUGACCACCAUACUUCGCCCUAUAGAGGCGGGACAUUUCACCUCCUGAAAACACCCCGUCCAGAUCGCACCCUACGCCGAUGAUACCGCUGUUUAUGCAUCCUCUAAGAGCCCCUCAUUAUUAAGGCAACACGUACAACGCUACCUGAAAACAUCUGUCAACUGGUGCAGGCGGUGAGGUGUAAGCAUUGAUGGAAAGAGAAGAUGCUCCACACUACUCUCGCCUCUAAUUCUGAAAGUUGUUAAUCUCUAUGGAGCUCUUAUGCCAAGUACUUGGGUGUCAUCAUCAUUAAGCGACUAACUUGGCGGCAUCACGAAGUAUUUGUUGCAGCUAAGAUCAAGCUUCAAUCCACGCGCUUACCCACUGUUGAGCACAAAACGCGCAAUGUUUCUGCUUAAUAAACUUCGCUUGUGUAAAGUACGCGUACGCCCUAUAGUGGCUUACGCAUCUGCGGCUUAGAUAUAUAUAAAAGCAGAUCGUAACAAAACAGGCUACUGCACCUUACUUCAUGCGUAUUGACACCUUGCACAACGAGCUGAGUUUAAAAUAACUUGAUAACUUUUUAAGGAAUGCAACUACUGUCUUUUUUGAACGUGUUUAAAAGCAUCUUAACCACCUGUGGGUCCAAGAACUUACUAUGAACCCUGGAAAGGCGCACGCUUUGACAGCCUCGCAGUGCACUUCGAAUGCACAGUUAUAUCUUAUAUCUCCACACAUAUAUGUAUAAUAUGACGAGGUAACUGGCGGAAACUAAAUACAGCCUCCGCCAAUAAUCUAAAUUAUUAGGCAAACUAAGCAUUUUGCGCUCGAUAUUAUUUAAGCCGCAUAAAUCAUACAAAAAAAUUAGCCUCGACAGGACAAACGCUGACGUACUAGAAGCUGUAAUACUAAGAUAACAACAGUUUUUUUAUGUAAAAUAAAA